UAAAUGAGACCGAGGGGAUCGGAGGAAAGCUACUUACAGAGGAUCGAACAAGUUGUGGAGUCCACGGAGUCAUCAUGCAGGACAGAAGGUUUUGGGAGCCGGAUGCCGUUCUGCAGCUCGGAGGCGUUAAGCAGUCAUCUACUCGUUCCCACAAUCUCCUUCCACACAAACCCUUUACAGGCUGUCUCCGCAACGUCGUUCUUAAUAAGCAGGUGUAUGAUCUAGCAGCCCCACUGGAGGCAGUUAAUAGCUCCCCAGGCUGUGUGAGGAAGGGUACAGCUUGCUCAUCACC